rnacentral:miRNA from 1 species
UCCUUUAAUAAGGUUCCCCGACAAAGUAAAAGUUACAACACUCAAUAAAAGCAAAAGCUUUCGCGUGCUUCUACAGUCAUCAUCCAGAGCAUCCAAAGUUGCCCAUAGUCUACUUUAUCUGUCUAUUUAAGAAGGCUUCGGCCUCAGUUAUCCUCAGAAUAAAUGGAGGAUGACUGUAGAAGCACGCGAAAGCUUUUGCUUUUACUGAGUGCUGUAACUUUUACUUUGUCGAGGAUCCUGACUAAAGGA